rnacentral:rRNA from 1 species
GACGAACGCUGGCGGCGUGCUUAACACAUGCAAGUCGAGCGGUAAGGCCUCUUCGGGGGUACACGAGCGGCGAACGGGUGAGUAACACGUGGGUGACCUGCCCUCAGCCCUGGGAUAAGCCUGGGAAACUGGGUCUAAUACCGGAUAUGACCUUUCCUCGCAUGGGGUUUGGUGGAAAGUUUUUUCGGCCGGGGUUGGGCCCGCGGCCUAUCAGCUUGUUGGUGGGGUGAUGGCCUACCAAGGCGACGACGGGUAGCCGGCCUGAGAGGGCGACCGGCCAAACUGGGACUGAGGCACGGCCCAGACUCCUACGGGAGGCAGCAGUAGGGAAUAGUGCGCAAUGGGCGGAAGCCUGACGGAGCGACGCCGCGUGGGGGAUGACGGCCUUCGGGUUGUAAACCUCUUUCGACCCCGACGAAUUUGGACGGUAGGGGUAGAAGAAGCACCGGCCAACUACGUG